GGGAAAUAAACAGUUUGGUUUAUUCAGGAAAAUAUUAGUCAUGUCCUCCUUUCUGCUACUAAUGGCUGACAGUGGACAAUGAUGGAUGUUGAAAGCUGUCCUCCUCAAGUCUUCAGGUCGUGAAGCUAAGGCCCAAAGUGAGCAGACUCAUGAUGAAUCCAUUGGGGCCACCAUUAUAAUGAUUCUGAUCUGCAGGCUCGAGUGCAGACUGAGGGGAGGAAAGAAGGGAGAUUCCACGGGAAGGAGGUUAGCUACAGGUCAAGACACUUCACUUAUUGGAAUGUGGACAUUUGGGGAGGAUCACUGGCUGCCAUGUCAUGGAUACACCCAGGAAGUUUCUGGUGAAACCCACAUAUGCGGAUGCGAGACACACAAAUAACCAUGAGCCUCUACAAUCAGAGCUGGUGUGAACACACAAUGGAGAUGCCCUUGGGCAUUCACAGUGGCUGCCAGAGAACAUCGUGAGCUUCCCACAAAGGACUGAAGAUUAUGAGAAAGAUAACAAACAGAUAUGAUGGUGGUACGAAGCAAAGAAUUAAAGAUUCCAGACAGCAGUACCAGGAGGCCAGCAAAGUCCUUGGCAGCAGCCUCUUCCAAUAAAUCAGCAUGUCAGAAGAAACAAUGACCCUUCCCAUGGUACAGGAACAAAACCACAAACUCUCCAAGGUGGACCUGGAACAGAAGUCUCCAAGACAACCUCAAUACAUCUCAUUCCUUUCCCAUUCAUCGAGGGCAAGUACAAGAG
rnacentral:lncRNA from 1 species